AUAUCAAUAAGCGGAGGAAAAGAAACCAACAGGGAUUGCCUUAGUAACGGCGAGUGAAGCGGCAAAAGCUCAAAUUUGAAAUCUGGCACCUUCGGUGUCCGAGUUGUAAUUUGAAGAAGGUAACUUUGGAGUUGGCUCUUGUCUAUGUUCCUUGGAACAGGACGUCACAGAGGGUGAGAAUCCCGUGCGAUGAGAUGCCCAACUCUAUGUAAAGUGCUUUCGAAGAGUCGAGUUGUUUGGGAAUGCAGCUCUAAGUGGGUGGUAAAUUCCAUCUAAAGCUAAAUAUUGGCGAGAGACCGAUAGCGAACAAGUACAGUGAUGGAAAGAUGAAAAGAACUUUGAAAAGAGAGUGAAAAAGUACGUGAAAUUGUUGAAAGGGAAGGGCUUGAGAUCAGACUUGGUAUUUUGCGAUCCUUUCCUUCUUGGUUGGGUUCCUCGCAGCUUACUGGGCCAGCAUCGGUUUGGAUGGUAGGAUAAUGACUAAGGAAUGUGGCUCUACUUCGGUGGAGUGUUAUAGCCUUGGUUGAUACUGCCUGUCUAGACCGAGGACUGCGUCUUUUGACUAGGAUGUUGGCAUAAUGAUCUUAAGCCACCCGUCUU
rnacentral:rRNA from 1 species